AGCCGUGCGAUAAGCACAUAGCGAACUAUUCUUUCGCCUUUUACUAAAGAAUACCGUGUGCUUGUCGUCCUUAGCGGCAUACGCCUAUUUUUGGAGGGUUAUCUCUUAUUGAGAU
rfam:Capsella rubella cultivar Monte Gargano unplaced genomic scaffold scaffold_7, whole genome shotgun sequence.